CAAAUAGGCCUCCUGAUUCUGACUGCCUCUCCUCCACCACAAUCUCCACAGGAAGCUACAUCUCCACCGACCCUGAGCAGAACAGAAGCACUGAUGAAUGCCCGCUGCUCAGACGGUGUGUAGAACCGGAGCGUGGAGCAGAUUCGCUCCAUGUGUUCUCGCCACCUGUUCAGAGCGUCUGCUGCUUUAAGGACAGCUCCCCUGCAGACCGUCCUGCCCUUUCUGUAGGCUCUCUCUUUAAUGACAGCAGCAUCCAGCACAUCAUAGACAAAUACACACGGGAGCUGAACAUCUCCCUCAGCACUGUUGGCAGAACCACAGACAGUGAAGGCUCAUAUGUGGAGGAAUCUGGCUCUUCAGUCUCCCAGCAGUCUUUGCUUGGAGUCCCGGAGAGGAGAGGGGGGAGUGAGAGCUCCACCUCCCCUCAGUCUCUUCCCUCAGAUUGGGCAGCAGCACAGAGGAGGGGCCUGGUCAGUG